UUUUUUAGAGGUUCCUUCUGAAAAUACUUCACGUACAGUUGAGGUCUCUGGUUCGACAAUCUAAUAAUAAAAUUAACAUUAUUAAGAUACAGUCAAACUCUGCUAUCAUGACAUCGAAGGAACUACUCAUAUUUCGUACUACAUAAAAACCAAUAUAUUAAGAACCCAAUACAAUGGAAUUCAGUCAGGACCUUUGCUUUUCGUCAAUAAAAAUGCCCGCUGCAGCGCCAAGGUUCGAAGGACCUCCUACAUGUAACAAAAAUUUGUAAUGCAAUUUAAGUGACAUGCCUACAAUGGGAAAAGGUUGAAUCAGUUAGAAUGCAAUAUUAUGAUGAACUGCUACUAUAAUUGAUUUACUUUAUCAUAAUCAUCCCAAUUGCUGGAGCGUACACGUUUAUUUGUUGAUUCAUUCAUUUACUC